rnacentral:tRNA from 1 species
AGGGAUGUGGCGCAGCUCGGUAGCGCGUUUGUUUUGGGUACAAAGUGUCGCGGGUUCAAAUCCUGUCAUCCCUA